rnacentral:rRNA from 1 species
AGCGAACGCUGGCGGCAGGCCUAACACAUGCAAGUCGAACGGAUCCUUCGGGAUUAGUGGCGGACGGGUGAGUAACACGUGGGAACGUGCCCUUUGGUUCGGAACAACUCAGGGAAACUUGAGCUAAUACCGGAUGUGCCCUUCGGGGGAAAGAUUUAUCGCCAUUGGAGCGGCCCGCGUCUGAUUAGCUAGUUGGUGAGGUAACGGCCCACCAAGGCGACGAUCAGUAGCUGGUCUGAGAGGAUGAUCAGCCACACUGGGACUGAGACACGGCCCAGACUCCUACGGGAGGCAGCAGUGGGGAAUCUUGCGCAAUGGGCGAAAGCCUGACGCAGCCAUGCCGCGUGGAUGAUGAAGGUCUUAGGAUUGUAAAAUUCUUUCAGCGGGGACGAUAAUGACGGUACCCGCAGAAGAAGCUCCGGCUAACUUCGUG